ACCUUGUCUCCAGCUGAGGCUGAGCGAGCACGCCUUUGUUUAGGGCCCCUUGUCUCGGCCUGUGUCAGAGCUUGCAGGGGCGUUGGGCCUCUCUCUGCAGGGAGGACUGGUUUUAGAGGACUCCCGCUUCCCCCAGUUGUAUCAGUUCAGGUGUAAACCCGAUAUGCAAUAGGAUCCGGCGUGGUGUCCACACUCAUUAGACACAUGGCAUCGUUUCCAAAGAUACAGGCCCCCGCACUUCAGCUUGAUGCCAGAGGGCUUACACGUAAACUCUGCUUGACUUGGAAAUCAAAGAGAGGUGAGAAGAGUUCAGAUUUUCUCCUGCUGAGGUAGGAGGCUCGCCAAGAGACAAGACUGGACUCAUAAGGUCUGCAACUGGCUUUAUCUAGUUAAUAGCAGCCUUUGACAUCACAAAACAUGCUAUUUCCUUGUGUUCAUGUCUUUAAGAGGAGCCACGGUGAAAGCAAACAUUAAAGAUUUUAAUCUAACAAAAAUGUGGAGUGAAAGUAAGACAUUUUACACCUGCUCUCUGCACUACUAUUUCAGGAGGAGGUCGGUCGCUGAUGUUGAAACUGUUAUUCAUAAAUGUUUUCCAUCUGUGUUUGUUUCUGAUUUCUCAUCUGCAUCCGCAGUUAUGCAAUGUCCUCCAAUGUUUGUCUCUUCUUCCUGAAAUACGGUCUAUUUCACAUUGCACUGCCCAUUUUCACAAGGCAUCACUGGACUAGGGAGUCCUCAGAGAAAGCCAGGUAUGGUUCAGCUGUUUCCUUUCCAGUGUAUAUGACACUUGGGAAAAAGACAGCUUGAGGGUAAAUUUGCCUCAUCGUUAGAGAUACCUUAUUAAUAUUAAGUCUGCAAAACAAGUCCUCUCUUUAAUUCAACACUUCCAAAAUGAACAAAGAGUUACAAUGCCCUGCAGUAAAAGGCGACUUAAUUGCAUUUGGCCAAUAUUUAUUUCGUGCACACUGUGUAAGACGCAUUGAACUAGAGAGUAUAAAAAUUGGUAAAUUACCAUCUCUCAACUAAAUAAUCUUAUGGUCUCAUAACAGAAAUAGGUUACAAUGAAUGUACAAAUAACAAUUUAAAUAAAGAUAAUAAUGAGAUUUUUAAAUGAUUAAAGUUAUUCUCCAAGAACACUUUAAACACAGUGCUUAAAUUGUUUCUAUUUAUUGAGCUUCUACUACAAUGAAGACUAUAUGGUAAUUCUAGGAUUAGAGACGCAUGAGCAACACACACACACACACACACACACACACACACACACCCUGCCCCCAACUCACAAACAGUAGAAAGCAUGUGACAUUAAAUAAUUGCAUCAUUUAAUUCUUGCAGCAACCGUGGUAUUAUAAUCCCCCAUUACACAUGAGAGCACUCAGUGUAACCAUAGGGAGUUGAUCUGCUGCCAGCCACACUGAAGAGGCAGGGCAUACUUCAGGUAUCAGGGGUUGAGAUUUGGCUAUGAGAGCUAGAAUGUCUGGUUCCAACUCCAGUUCCACAACAUGAAAGCUGCGUGACACUGAGCAAGUCACUCAAUAACUCUGUCUGAGUUUCCCCGCGCUGUAAAGGUUUGUUUUGAGAAGUGAAUUAAUCCUCAUCUUGAUCUACCUAGGGAGAUCUAGUAUACAAGAAAUUCCUCUGUCAUCUUUACUUUUUUUUAAUCAAAAAGUUAAACAACUUCA
rnacentral:lncRNA from 1 species